rnacentral:rRNA from 1 species
AUUGAACGCUGGCGGCAGGCCUAACACAUGCAAGUCGAACGAGUGGCGGACGGGUGAGUAAUGUCUGGGAAACUGCCCGAUGGAGGGGGAUAACUACUGGAAACGGUAGCUAAUACCGCAUACCAUCGGAUGUGCCCAGAUGGGAUUAGCUAGUCGGUGGGGUAAUGGCGCACCUAGGCGAAGAGCCCUAGCUGGUCUGAGAGGAUGACCAGCCACACUGUAACUGAGAAACGGUCCAGACUCCUACGGGAGGCAGCAGGGGGGAAUAUUGCACAAUGGGCGCAAGCCUGAUGCAGCCAUGCCGCGUGUAUGAAGAAGGCCUUCGGGUUGUAAAGUACUUUCAGCGAGGAGGCGUUACUCGCAGAAGAAGCACCGGCUAACUCCGUGCCAGCCUCCGCGGUAAUAC